rnacentral:tRNA from 1 species
GAGAGAGGCUCGCAGCAACGAAUACUGCUAAUCUUCGUCUCCUUGGUUGGACCCCAAGGCUCACUCG